AAGCACUAACACACAAGCCCAUCAUGACAGCACAAAACCUGAAACAUUACCAAAUACAGAGCAAGCAAUAAACACCAAACCUAUCAGCACCAACACCAUUGGUGGUCUAAGCUAUGCUCAAGUAACCAGACAACCACUACUCCCGAACCAACCAGCAGACAAACAAUAACAAUACCGCAAGAAAUACUUGACAAAAUCAAAGAAAAAAGAAAAGCAAAAGCAAAAUGGCAAAAAUACAGAACCCGAGAAAACAAAAAAAACUUAAACAAACUUGCAAAGGAAAUAAAAAACAAAAUAAAGGAGCACAACGAUAACGAAUUCGCAAAGUUCAUAGGGACACUCUCCACACACGAGAACACCAACCAUUCACUAUGGAAAGCCACGAAAAAAAUAAGGAAGCCAAUAAUACCCGUCCCGGCAAUCAGAAAAGCAGAUAACACAUGGGCAAGAAGCAACGAAGAACAAGCUGAAGAAUUCUCCAACCACCUCUGCAACACAUUCACACCACACAUUAUCAACAACAGCAACCUCAAAAGUCAUACGGAGGAGGAUCCACAAACCACUGCUACCACAGCCGACAAGGAAUACACCAU
rnacentral:misc_RNA from 1 species